rnacentral:rRNA from 1 species
AAAACCUUACCUACCCUUGACAUGGUCGGAACCCUUGAGAGAUCAGGGNGUGCUCGAAAGAGAACCGAUACACAGGUGCUGCAUGGCUGUCGUCAGCUCGUGUCGUGAGAUGUUGGGUUAAGUCCCGCAACGAGCGCAACCCUUGUCCUUAGUUGCUACGCAAGAGCACUCUAAGGAGACUGCCGGUGACAAACCGGAGGAAGGUGGGGAUGACGUCAAGUCCUCAUGGCCCUUAUGGGUAGGGCUUCACACGUCAUACAAUGGUCGGAACAGAGGGUCGCCAACCCGCGAGGGGGAGCCAAUCCCAGAAAACCGAUCGUAGUCCGGAUUGCACUCUGCAACUCGAGUGCAUGAAGUUGGAAUCGCUAGUAAUCGCGGAUCAG